ACACACCGCCCGUCACACCAUGAGAGUUGGAAAUACCCGAAGCCUGUGAGCUAACCUUUAGGAGGCAGCAGUCGAAGGUAGAGCCAAUGAUUGGGGUGAAGUCGUAACAAGGUACC
rnacentral:rRNA from 1 species